rnacentral:rRNA from 1 species
GACAGAGGGGGCAAGCGUUGCUCGGAAUUACUGGGCGUAAAGGGCGCGUAGGCGGGAUGGCAAGUCGGUCGUGAAAGCCUUCGGCUCAACCGAAGAACGUCGGCCGAUACUGCCGUUCUUGAGGGAUGCAGAGGAGACUGGAAUUCCCGGUGUAGCGGUGAAAUGUGUAGAGAUCGGGAGGAACACCGGUGGCGAAGGCGGGUCUCUGGGCCGAUACUGACGCUGAGGAGCGAAAGCGUGGGGAGCAAACAGG